rnacentral:rRNA from 1 species
GCAAGUAGAGCGGUAGCACAGAGAGCUUGCUCUCGGGUGACGAGCGGCGGACGGGUGAGUAAUGUCUGGGAAACUGCCUGAUGGAGGGGGAUAACUACUGGAAACGGUAGCUAAUACCGCAUAAUGUCGCAAGACCAAAGUGGGGGACCUUCGGGCCUCAUGCCAUCAGAUGUGCCCAGAUGGGAUUAGCUAGUAGGUGGGGUAACGGCUCACCUAGGCGACGAUCCCUAGCUGGUCUGAGAGGAUGACCAGCCACACUGGAACUGAGACACGGUCCAGACUCCUACGGGAGGCAGCAGUGGGGAAUAUUGCACAAUGGGCGCAAGCCUGAUGCAGCCAUGCCGCGUGUGUGAAGAAGGCCUUCGGGUUGUAAAGCACUUUCAGCGGGGAGGAAGGCGGUAAGGUUAAUAACCUUGGCGAUUGACGUUACCCGCAGAAGAAGCACCGGCUAACUCCGUGCCAGCAGCCGCGGUAAUACGGAGGGUGCAAGCGUUAAUCGGAAUUACUGGGCGUAAAGCGCACGCAGGCGGUCUGUCAAGUCGGAUGUGAAAUCCCCGGGCUCAACCUGGGAACUGCAUUCGAAACUGGCAGGCUAGAGUCUUGUAGAGGGGGGUAGAAUUCCAGGUGUAGCGGUGAAAUGCGUAGAGAUCUGGAGGAAUACCGGUGGCGAAGGCGGCCCCCUGGACAAAGACUGACGCUCAGGUGCGAAAGCGUGGGGAGCAAACAGGAUUAGAUACCCUGGUAGUCCACGCCGUAAACGAUGUCUAUUUGGAGGUUGUGCCCUUGAGGCGUGGCUUCCCGAGCUAACGCGUUAAAUCGACCGCCUGNNGAGUACAGCCGCAAGGUUAAGACUCAAAUGAAUUGACGGGGGCCCGCACAAGCGGUGGAGCAUGUGGUUUAAUUCNAUGCAACGCGAAGAACCUUACCUGGUCUUGACAUCCACAGAAGUUUCCACAGAUGGAUAGGUGCCUUCGGGCAACUGNUAAAACAGGUGCUGCAUGUUUGUCGUCNNCUCANNNUGGUGAAAUGGUUGGGGCUNACUCCCCCCCACCCACCCCCACCCCUUUAUCUUUUGUUGUCAAGCGG